GCUGCGAAAAGCUGUGGGUUUUGUAGAGGUUGUCUUGACUAUUCGGAUUUUGGUGUCUUCCCAUCAGCGAAGGAAAAUCUUGCUUACUUAGUACAAAGUUGACAGAAACAGUUGGGAGUCAUCAUUUCAAUAAUGGAUGCCAGAGAUAAAGAUGGCGUUAUUCAGAAAGUCCAGAGUGAACUGGAUAAACUCAAGCAAGCUUUGAAAUGUUCAGCAG